rnacentral:rRNA from 1 species
AGUGAACGCUGGCGGUAGGCCUAACACAUGCAAGUCGAACGGCAGCACAGUAAGAGCUUGCUCUUACGGGUGGCGAGUGGCGGACGGGUGAGGAAUACAUCGGAAUCUACUUUUUCGUGGGGGAUAACGUAGGGAAACUUACGCUAAUACCGCAUACGACCUACGGGUGAAAGCAGGGGAUCUUCGGACCUUGCGCGAUUGAAUGAGCCGAUGUCGGAUUAGCUAGUUGGCGGGGUAAAGGCCCACCAAGGCGACGAUCCGUAGCUGGUCUGAGAGGAUGAUCAGCCACACUGGAACUGAGACACGGUCCAGACUCCUACGGGAGGCAGCAGUGGGGAAUAUUGGACAAUGGGCGCAAGCCUUAUCCAGCCAUACCGCGUGGGUGAAGAAGGCCUUCCGGUUGUAAAGCCCUUUUGUUGGGAAAGAAAAGCAGCAGGUUAAUACCCCGCUGUUCUGACGGUACCCAAAGAAUAAGCACCGGCUAACUUCGUG